UGUUAACAGCCAAAAGACUGUUGGCUGUUAAGUCAGCUGUUUAACAGCCAACAGUCGGCUGUUAACA
rnacentral:miRNA from 1 species